UACGGAGGGGGCUAGCGUUGUUCGGAAUCAUUGGGCGUAAAGCGCGUGUAGGCGGCUCGAUAAGUCUGCUGUGAAAGUCCAGGCUCAACCCUGGGAUGCCGGUGGAUACUGUCGAGCUCGAGUCCGGAAGAGGCGAGUGGAAUUCCUGGUGUAGCGGUGAAAUGCGCAGAUAUCAGGAGGAACACCAAUGGCGAAGGCAGCUCGCUGGGACGGUACUGACGCUGAGGCGCGAAAGCGUGGGGAGCGAACAGG
rnacentral:rRNA from 1 species